rnacentral:rRNA from 1 species
CCGCGUGGCGGUCGUGUGGUCGGGGGAAUACUGUGGGGUGGUGGGUUGGCCGGAGGUGGUGUGCGUAAAGAUCGCGUGGGCGGUUGGGUAAGUCGGGUGUGAAAUCUCCACGCUCAACGUGGAGGGGCCACCGGAUACUGCCAUGAGUGGAGUCCGGGAGAGGAGUGUGGAACUCCCGGGGUAGCGGUGAAAUGCGCAGAUAUCUGGAGGAACACCCGUAGCGAAGGCGGCACUCUGGGCCGGUACUGACUCUGAGGAGCGAAAGCGUGGGGAGCAAACAGGAUUAGAUACCCGAGUAGUC